rnacentral:rRNA from 1 species
UACGAAGGGGGCUAGCGUUGCUCGGAAUUACUGGGCGUAAAGCGCACGUAGGCGGCUUUCUAAGUCGGGGGUGGAAAUCCUGGAGCUCAACUCCAGAACUGCCUUCGAUACUGGAAAGCUCGAGUCCGGGAGAGGUGAGUGGAACUGCGAGUGUAGAGGUGAAAUUCGUAGAUAUUCGCAAGAACACCAGUGGCGAAGGCGGCUCACUGGCCCGGUACUGACGCUGAGGUGCGAAGCGUGGGAGCAACAGGAUAAGA